CAAAGGGUGAAGUAGAAGGAAGCUAGAAAGACAUGGUAUUUUCGAAGUUUUUCUGAGAAAUCACAAGUCUGGACCUUCUGCCCAGUUUGGAAGAAAGAACAUUCCAUCAUGACCCUUGGACUGGGUGAGAGCGUCAUCCUUUAAUUAAUGUCUGCUAACCAUCACUGCCUCUAGGUGCUGGAAUACAGAGAAGAAUCAAACAGACAAAACCCCUUGCCUGCAUGGAGCUUACCCUCAGCUAAGGGAGACAGUCAAAAACAAGUCAACACAUCUAAAGAAACUGUUGAUGAAACAGGCUCCCCCUUGGAAAGACCAUCUCGUCUUCCAGCCUCUCCAUCCUACAGAGAGGAAAACCCAACUUUGGCGUUGGCAGUCAGGUAGUUUCAUUAGAUCUGGAAAGCACCUUGUCAGCAUCCCCCUGGCCGACUGGAAGCAACCGUGACGAUGUGCUGAACGCCCUUGCAGAGUUGUGCUGUGGUCUCUCUGAGCGCAUCACGGCAGCUUCCUAUGCAGGAGUUUCAAUUCAAGGAUUUAGCCAAAUUUGGGUGGUACAUCCCCUUUUAUGGGGGCACUUUUCUUCACAAUGAGCAGGACGUCUUUGGACUGCAGAACACUGAGAGGCCCUCCCAUGGCCACCCAUGAACCAAUCAGCUUCCCCGCUUCUGAGCCCAUUAAAACUCUGGACUCAGCCAGACUCAGAAAGAAGUCAGGACUAACGGCUGUGGGAAGGAGCUACCAACUUCAGUCUCCUUGACUCUGCAGGAUGACCUGCCUACACGUGAGAGCUACCCACCAUGGGUCUCCUCUCCCACUUGCCAGGACGACCUCCUGUGGAAAGGAGUUACCCACUUUGUGUCUCCUGAGAGCUGUCUGUCACUCAGUGAAGCUCCUUUCCACCUUGCUCACCCUCCAGUUGUCCAGGCACUUCAUUCUUCCUGGACAUGAGACCAAAAACUUGGGACCUGCCAAAUGGAGGGACUAAAAGAGCUGUAACACAAACAAGGCUGAAACACAUCUCCCCACGCCCCACUCUCCAUGAUGAGAGAAGAGCUGUGGCCCUUCAAGGAGUUCAGACCCAGGGGCUCCCCAGGACAGUGUUGUGACACACUCUUUAGGGCUCUGUGGUUUCUGGUGUCUCCAAGAUUCUAGGCACCACCACAUUUCCCAGUGUCCACAAUGGAAGCAUACUGAUUACAGUAUGCCUGGUACACCAACAGCCUCGCACAGAGGUGGGUGCCUGGAGCUGCCCUCCCCACUGCAGCCGGUACGCCUGGCUGUGCGCAGUGGCUGGAACCUGUGCUCGCUCAUACAUCCCUUGCCACUCUGCACACGGCCUGGCGUUAGAAGAUGUGGGAUCUGGCUGGUAGCUCCAGCUGACUGCAGCCUGCCGGGCCAAGUGGGUGGAAUGAGCCCAGUGGUCCUGAGGAAAACUUGGGCAAAGGUGCUACUGGCCACAGAGGUUUCCAGCUGGUGAAGUGACACCCUAAAGAUCCUAUGACAUUUUCCGUGACACUAUCAUGACCAAAGACUCAGGAUCAAACAGCUAAAUGAUCUUGACAGAAACCCAUGAGAUGAACUUAAAGAAAUGCUGUAUGAAGGAUUCCUGCAGGCAAAAAGCCUACCACAAUGUAGAUAACCAUGUCUGCCUUAUCACAUUGGAAAAUUCUAGUUGAGAUGUGCCAGGAUUUUGUGAAGGCUGCUUCAGAAGACAAAAGAGCCUGGCUUAAAGACGUAUAGACCCACCAAUUCUACUCCUACAUCUAAACCCAAAGACAUGUCCACCAAAAGAGAUGUGCAAAAAUGUCCAUAACUGCCCAAAAUUGAAACAACUGAAUGUCCAGCAAUAGUCAAAUGGGGAAAUUAUGCAUUCAAUGA